AUCUCUAAUUCUUAAACUCUGUCUUUGUUCCGUCCCAUUCGUUCUUAAUUCAUCAUAUUUUGCGAAAUGGAGACGAACUUGUUGGAGUGGGACCACUGGGUCGAAGCGGCACUGUCAAAGCUUCGAAUUUAAAAAGUGCUUCGCUCUCUAAGGCCCAUUUACGUCUCCUCCAAUGAACUACAGAAAGAACAAUCUCCACCCGUCGAAGAACGUGGCGAUGAUUACGAGGUGUUCGAUGAAAUGCAACCCUGGGAUCGAUCUGCCGUUGAAAUAUCAACUCUGACUCCACCUUUCACAGAUGGCUCCAUGACAUUCCUAGUUCUGGAUGAGAUUGUCUCCAGAGAUGGAGUAGCUAAUGGUAAGGCCACCGCAUGCUCUAGGCAGUUCAAGAAGCUACUUCUGUUAAAUCUCCUAAUAAGAUUGUAAACUUCAGAUACAUGGCUGACACCAUUUAUGAGUGUAUUAUACCUUGGAUAUUUUGCAUCUUGUCUACGAAACCUUACUGCUCUGUGGUUCACAGUCCUCUGAGUGACUUCAACUAGUCUUUUGGAAAUAUUUGCUAGGUGUUUUGCUUGUUUGGUAUGGAUGGAGACUUUGCACCAAUGGUUGAACUUGUAAAGCUUCGCAAGAAGUAUGACUUUUUGUUAGUCUUAGAUGAUGCUCAUGGAACAUUUGUCUGUGGCAAAAGUGGUGGGAGAGUGGCCGAGGAAUUCAAUUGCGAAAGUGAUAUAGACAUAUGCAUUGGCACUCUGAGUAAGGCAGCAGGGUGUCAUGGUGGUUUCAUAGCAUGCAGGCAAUUUCAAGAACCUGGCCCUUUUUGUUCUGUUAAGAACAGAAAGCAGAACAAUUCCCUUACAUUUUGCUUUUUUGCUCAAAUGUAGGCCUACAACAAGCAAAAGGAGGAAGCAGUUCAUACAAUCUAGGGGUCGUUCUUUUAUAUUUUCAACUUCUGCAUCAAUUCUCAUUGCUGCUGCAGCACAUGGGAGUGAAGAGAAGGCCCUCCUAGCUAGAAUUUGAAAGUAGAUAUCUUUUAUUGUUUGUAACUCUAACUGCAGUGCAUACUACAGAUGAUACAAAGAAGCUCACGGCUGUACGCUCUCGUAACAUCAACAUGGAAGACAUUCCCAGCAAUAGUUCAAAUGUAUAUUGUAAGCUAUACAAUUUGAUCUUUUUGGGUUACAAAGGUUUGUUGUAAUCUAUAGUUCAAGGUAACUUAUUACUUGAAAGAGUAUCUUCCAAAAAGAGAAGUACAUUCACAUUCUUCAAAUAAUUUCAAUUUGUUCUUUACGUCUUUGAUGACUAACUACGACCAA